rnacentral:rRNA from 1 species
GCUUACGGCCACACCGGCCUGAGUACGCCUGAUCUCGUCCGAUCUCGGAAGCUAAGCAGGGACGGGCCUGGUUAGUACUUGGAUGGGAGGACCGCCUGGGAAUACCAGGUGCUGUAAGCU